AAAAAAUAAAGGCUUGCUUGAGUGGACAGAACUGUGCGCAGAGCAUAGGAAAACAUACACUUCUGGAGAAAUCAAUGAAACAGAUAUAUAUCAUCGAAAGACCUUGAUACAUGGCUUUGCAAGGCACAUCUGUGAAUUUUUGCAGACAUUUCAGCCAUAUUGUCUAGAAUUCCCAGGGGACUGAAAAAAAUGAAAUAAAUCUUAUCAGCAUUUUUUACAACUCUUAAAGCAAAAACCAGAACACUUUUGAAGAGCGUACAAAGUGUUAUAGUGGCCAAGGGACCAGAAGAGAUAGAGGCACCACAAGAACUUCAUAUAUCCCAGAGUCUGAGCCACUUAAAUAACAACAUGCCCUAUAUUAGGACAAACUGGAUGGGGAAAGGCCUGGAAAGUUAAAGUGUCCCCACCCUUCCCCAAGAUCUCCUUCAAACAAAAGAAGUGCAAUGGAACCUUGGAGCAUCCAAUGUUCUUUGCACAGAAGCACAGAAUUCCG
rnacentral:lncRNA from 1 species